ACUGUUCCAUUACAACAUCGAUCAUUUUUAAACACAUUGCUGCACUGGAUGUAAAGAAUAAUAAGGAUGGCAGCUUGCAUUAUAUUAGUACACAGCUCUUAUGCAAGUAAAACACUUUUGCCUAACCACAACAUUACAUUUAAAAGGAUGUAGGCUGAUAACGCUAUUUGUAACUGCAAAUUGUUGUCAUUGACUGUAUUUUUUAUUUGGGAGCUGAUUGAGAGCAACAGGUAUUAGAGGUAAAAGCACACACUGCAAACUUCCUGAAAAGUCAACACAUCACAGCUGAGAUGAAGAAAGAACACUUAAGAAUAUUUUGGUCACUAUUGAGAUCACAGUUAUUAUUAUUAUUACCCCAUGAAUAUUUCACCUCACUGAAAAAACGUUUAAUGGUGAAAUUAUGACAUAAAGUGCACAUGAUUGAAGUGAAACUAACAUGCCACAGCCCGGCAGUGAAAAAGAUCACCACUGCAACAUGUAAUACUUUUUCUUGUUUGUUUUCAUUAAUCUAAAUCAUAAAUCUCUGAGCAAAGAAUUGAUUUUUGAAAGGUAAAUGUAACACUAGCUUGACUUUCUUUGAAAUGGCUUACUGUGUACGGUAUGUUGUCUCAUGAAAAGUGAGAUGUUUACAAUAUUAAAAAAAAAAAUCUUGAUAUGCACUCACUAUAUUCUUUAUUAGGAACAUCUUGCUAGUCCUUUUGGGCCAUAUCGAUAUGAUCGCUGCAUGUCUAUGAUGGGAUUCUCACGUUCCACCACAUCCCAAAGGUGCUCUAUUGGAUUGAGAUCCGGUGACUGUGGUGUUUUAUCCUGCUGGAAAAAGCUAUCGGAAAAUGGGAACACUGUGAUCAAUAAUGAUAUAGUCAGCACCAAUUUUAAUAUGUUGUGCAUUCAGAGAUGCUCCCAUGCAUGUAUUUUCUUUUUUGGACUAUUCUCUGCAAACCGUAUAGAUGAUUGUCACCUUUUGUCCUGAACUUCAGCAGGUCAUCUUGAUCAUGUCUACAUGCCUAAAUGCAGAGUUGCUGCCAUGUGAUUGGCUGAUUAGAUAUUUGCAUUACAAAGCAGGUGAACAGGUGUAUCAAACAAAGUGGCUAGUGAGUGUGUGUAAAAUAUGCCUUUUUU